AGACGAAGCCGCCUCGUCGUCUGCAGUCCUCAAGUAGAAGUCAUCUUGAUGGACACCCGCACAUUAAGCCGCCGGCAGGGUCCUUUCCUUCAGGCGUCAGGAUGGAUUACCGGGGACCACCGAGCAUCUCGAUGUGACCGAGAGGAAGAGGGAGAGGAGGAGGAUGCAGCGCAGAUGAUGCGGGUCUGCGUCAGAGCUGCCACACCUGAUUACAGGUGGCGGGAUCUCCCAUGUCAGAGGAUAAAGACUAUAUGCCUGUGAGUAUCGUUAUAUGAUCUGUCUGCAUACAGGUAUGUUGCUCUACUUUUUAUGUUCAAAUAUCCGUUGCUUAAAAUGUUGACACCAUGACAACAAUGCCAUUCGUGAGCCUCCCUAUGGUAUUUCCCAUUUCGGGAUAGCAUUAAGCUAGCACAGUUUAAGGUAAAGGUUGUUUUUUAUGCUCAAAAAGAUUCAGGAUGUGUUUAAAAGUGUUUUUGUUUGUGGUCUUUCGAUAUCUAUGAAUUUUCACAUAUUGCAAGUGGGCCUAGAACGUAUCCCUGCGAUGCCCGAAUUGCAAAACCUCAUUAUCUACAGGUUUUUCUGAUUGAUUUCAAUUUGAUUCACAGCAUCCUGCGAGGAAAAAAACGUUUUCGUUUUGUCAAACUUUCAAAUGGGAGAUUUUGUGUUUUUGGCUAACACACUGCAGCCACCAAAAUCAUCUGGGGCUUUGUUACCACCAAACUCUUCAAACAAAGCCGUUUAAUCAUGUGAUUUCACAAAAGUUCCCUCGAUUAUCGCUCACAUAUUUUGCAAAACUUUAUAGACAGACUAACGGAAAUUAGUGUCGAUGUUACAGUAAUUCUAAAUCUUCAAACUUCUUUAAAACACUCCCGGAGAUAUAUAUCAAGUGAAAAAUGUUAAAUGAGCAAAAACGAGGUACCGCUAAAUUAUUUUUUGCCCAUCAAACAACAACAUAGUCGUUAUACGAGCCCUUUGGCCAGCUUUUAUUUGUUUGGUCUGUCACCGGGUGGUUGACGGCACUGCGUGAGCGCCUCUUUUCCACCGCGCUGACCUCACGAACGCGCCACAGCGAGCGAGCAGUAAAUCGCUAAUGAGGCUUGAUGUAAAUACCACAUCGCACAAAACCACAUUAAUCCACUCCCCCCGCACCUCUUCCACGUAACAACUCUGCCAACAGGCACACACGCAGUAAAAAAAAAAAAGCAACUCGACCUUGUGCUCAAUCAUCACAAUUUAUUCCUUUUCGUUAUUGUUCAUUGUCCUUUUUUUUUUCAUUGCAUUGUAAAUUACUUAUCUUGACUAGCACGUGGAGCUAAGCUACUUUGGCUAAUUUGGAUUGUUUAUCUUAGAUUUUAAGAAUAAUGACGUUGACUUUAAGUGUUGGAGGCAAGACUUGUUUGUUGUUUAGAGCACAGCCUACUAGGGGUGGAAAAAAAAACACUAAAAAUUUUUGGGAACCGUUACAUUUUAGGAAAAAUGCUGAUGUUGGACAGCUUUUACGAAACGCGUGCUUUACUCAUUGUUCGGUAAGGAUUAACUGAAUUUCUUACAAGCUUCCUUUAAAAUGUGCUUAAAGUCAUGUCUAUAUAUGUAUGAGUAUUUGAAAACAUUUUUUCUUCAAGAUAAAAUAAGGAUAGUGUCUGAUUCUCUAAUAUUGUACAAUGUUUAUCCAAUUAAAAAAUAAUAAUAAAUAACGGGAGAAUGGUCCUCAAUGCCAUUGAAAUGAAAAAGUUGCCUAUUUUUCGAGGGGGAGAGGGGUGGAGUCACGUCAAAAUGGCAAAUUGUAAUUUCUUCAAGAAAAAAAGGUUUGCUGUUAUGAGAAUAAAGUCAUAUUUUAUUUGGAAUCUUUAAUUAGGAAUGGAAGUCAUAUUUAACCAAGUAAAUUUGCAAAGAAUUUAUACAUGCAGCAAAAAAAAAAAGAA